GGCUAGUAUAUUUGGUGUAUGGAAGGACUGGAAGGUGUACAUGCCCAACUGGCAGGUGUCAUCUGACCUUGACCUCAUUUUCAUGGUUCAGUGGUUAUAGUUAAGUUUUUGUGUUUUGGUCUGUUUUUCUCAUACUUUAUGCAAUAGGUCUACUAUAUUUGUUGUAUGGAAUGAUUGUAAGGUGUACAUGUCUAGCGGACAGAUGUCAUCUGACCUUGACCUCAUUUUUAUGGUUCAGUGGUCAAAGUUAAGUUUUUAAGUUUUGGUCUUUUUAUCUAAUAUUAUAUGCCAAAGGUCAACUAUAUUUGGUGUAUGAAAAUAUAUUAUGAUCUAUAUGUCAGUCCCGCAGGUUUUAUUUGACCAUGACCUCAAUUGCACGGUUCAUUGCACAGUGUUAAGUUUUUUGUGUUUUGGUCUAUUUUUCUAACUAUAAGUAAUAGGUCAACUAUAUUUGUUGUACGGAAGCUUUGCUAGCUGUACAUGUCUGCCUGGCAUGGUUCAUCUGACCUUGACCUCAUUUUCAUGGUUCAUUGGUCUUUGUUUAGCUAUCUUGGUUAAUGUUAAGUUUAUGUGACAGUUGUAAUAAAGCUUUAUACUUAGGACUAUCAACAUAAUAUCAAUGAUUAGUAAAGAAGGCGAGA
rnacentral:lncRNA from 1 species